GAUGAACGCUGGCGGCGUGCCUAAUACAUGCAAGUCGAGCGAACAGACGAGGAGCUUGCUCCUCUGACGUUAGCGGCGGACGGGUGAGUAACACGUGGAUAACCUACCUAUAAGACUGGUAUAACUUCGGGAAACCGGAGCUAAUACCGGAUAAGCUCUUGAACCGCAUGGUUCAAUAGUGAAAGACGGUCUUGCUGGCACUUAUAGAUGGAUCCGCGCCGCAUUAGCUAGUUGGUAAGGUAACGGCUUACCAAGGCAACGAUGCGUAGCCGAACUGAGAGGGGGAUCGGCCACACUGGAACUGAGCCACGGUCAAGACUCCUACGGGAGGCAGCAGUAGGGAACCUUCCGCAAUGGGCGAAAGCCUGACGGAGCAACGCCGCGUGAGUGAAGAAGGUCUUCGGAUCGUAAAACUCUGUUAUUAGGGAAGAACAAAUGUGUAAGUAACUAUGCACGUCUUGACGGUACCUAAUCAGAAAGCCACGGCUAACUACGUG
rnacentral:rRNA from 1 species